rnacentral:rRNA from 1 species
AGCGAACGCUGGCGGCAGGCCUAACACAUGCAAGUCGAACGGAUCCUGCGGGAUUAGUGGUGGACGGGUGAGUAACACGUGGGAACGUGCCCUUUGGUUCGGAACAACUCAGGGAAACUUGAGCUAAUACCGGAUGUGCCCGUCGGGGGAAAGAUUUAUCGCCAUUGGAGCGGCCCGCGUCUGAUUAGGUAGUUGGUGAGGUGAAGGCUCACCAAGGCGACGAUCAGUAGCUGGUUUGAGAUGCUGGUCAGGCACAUUGGGACUGAGACACGGCGCAAACUCCCACGGGAGGACGCAGUGGUGAAUCUUGCGCGAUGGGCGAAAGCCUGACGCAGCCAUGCCGCGUGAAUGAUGAAGGUCUUAGGAUUGUAAAAUUCUUUCACCGGGGAAGAUAAUGACGGUACCCGGAGAAGAAGCCCCGGCUAACUUCGUGCCAGCAGCCGCGGUAACAC